AGAGUUUGAUCCUGGCUCAGGAUGAACGCUAGCGGCAGGCUUAACACAUGCAAGUCGGGCGGCAGCGGGGUGGGAGCUUGCUCCCACUGCCGGCGAGCGGCGCACGGGUGAGUAACACGUAUGCAACCUGCCCCUGUCAGGGGGACAACCCGCCGAAAGGCGGGCUAAGCCCGCGUAUAUCGCCCCGGGGCAUCCCGGGGGGAGGAAAGGAGCGAUCCGGACAGGGAUGGGCAUGCGGCGCAUUAGCUGGUCGGCGGGGUAACGGCCCACCGAGGCGACGAUGCGUAGGGGUUCUGAGAGGAAGGCCCCCCACACUGGUACUGAGACACGGACCAGACUCCUACGGGAGGCAGCAGUGAGGAAUAUUGGUCAAUGGGCGGGAGCCUGAACCAGCCAAGCCGCGUGAGGGAAGAAGGUACAGCGUAUCGUAAACCUCUUUUGUCAGGGAACAAAGGCGGGGACUAGUCCCCGGAUGAGGGUACCUGAAGAAAAAGCAUCGGCUAACUCCGUGCCAGCAGCCGCGGUAAUACGGAGGAUGCGAGCGUUAUCCGGAUUUAUUGGGUUUAAAGGGUGCGCAGGCGGCCUGUUAAGUCAGCGGUAAAAGCCCGGGGCUCAACCCCGGCGAGCCGUUGAAACUGGCGGGCUGGAGUUGGAGAGAAGUACGCGGAAUGCGCGGUGUAGCGGUGAAAUGCUUAGAUAUCGCGCAGAACCCCGAUUGCGAAGGCAGCGUACCGGCUCCACACUGACGCUGAGGCACGAAAGCGUGGGUAUCGAACAGGAUUAGAUACCCUGGUAGUCCACGCAGUAAACGAUGAA
rnacentral:rRNA from 1 species